UCCGACGUACACGUUUUCGCGAUGAAAACGUCGGCCGCAACCUCUCUAAUACUUGGAGAAUCGGACCCAGAAGACAUCUCGGCACAUCGUUCGAUGGUCAGCCGUUUUCUUUUUCGAUUCGAAUGUUUUAAAUUUAAAAAGGCAUUUGUGGUGAGCAUUUUCAGCUCUUUAGGCGUCUUGCUUUAUUAAUUGAAGCUUUCGUUUUCACUGGACUAAUUGCAAAUUUUCUUUUUUUUACAGGAUGAAAAGGUUAGUGCGGUUUUGGAGCAGUUCCGGCGGAGGGAGGGAAUUCCUCGGACGGCGCGAAACGAGUCUUUUGGACUCGUACCGCGUCCGAAGAGACGGUGGAAGAACGGGGGCUCGAGGAGCGAUAGGCAGCGGGCGAAGAAGACCUUCCCCAAGUGCGCGUGGCGUGGCAUCCUCCCGGAGUCGGGAUCAUGCGACGUUACACCCUGGAUCCAGUGCACUUGGCCAAGGUCUUCGGGGGUCAUCCGGCCACAGACCUCGCUGUGAAGGAUGUAGAAAGUGACGGCUCGUCCGAAGUGACAGUUUCUGGUUAGUCGCGUUCUGCCCAUUCGUCCGCGACGGCGACGCCACCGCCUUGCCGAAGAGGAGUCGGAGGAGAGAGCCGUCGAAGUUGAGGGACCGUGCUGUCCGUGAUUUUGUUGCUGCGGUUCCCUUGGCCUAGGCGAUCCUCUUCGAUUUCCUCUUCUUCACCCGGAUGCGACAUUUUUACCGGAUUGACACUUUUCACCCGGACUCGACACCUUUUCCCGGACGUGACCCACGGACUUGUCUCCCGAACGUGGCACUCGGUCGACGACAACGGAUUGACUCCUGAUUGUGACCCUCCGGACGCGACGCGUUUCUUCACCAGACACGACAUUCGGCUCAUCUUUCUUCCCAAACAGCUGUUACGAGGAUUGAGCUUCCGGUUAGGAAACGUUAGGUUAGGCUAGGCUAAGCCAGGUCAGGUCGUUCGCUCUUCUCAUAACACUGUUCGGGAAGAAAGGCUGUCUGAUAAAGGAACAUUUCGGAGGGAGAAGAAUCUUCCUCCCCACCAUUACAACGAAGAGAACGAAGUGGCCAUUUAUCGUACAAGUGAAUAUUUUCCGAAAUAUCCGAUGUCGAUAGCCGGACACGUGUACAGUAGCCAUCUUGUAUUUUCUCGCGCGCGUGGGAUCUCUCGUAUGACUGGACCUAGUUUCAAGAACUCUCUUGAGUCAAUCCUGAUUAAACCUCGUUUCAGUCGAGAUUGAAACGGUUGGUGGAGGUUGCACCAAGGCGAACAGAGUAUAAGGCUCUAGUUUAGUAGUGUUACAGAGUAUAAUACGUGUAUUUUAAUAUAUUUUUUAAAAGAAACAAAACCGCUGAGAAAUGUUACGUGUGUUUAACAACGGGUUCGGAAAACUU